GGAAUUACAUGUUUUAAUUGUGAUCAACCUUUUCUUUUAUUGUGUUAUAAAAACCUUCCAAAUAUAUUUUCAUAUAACUUUGAAUAACUAUAAAAAACGAAAAAAAAGUUGGGAGGAGCCCAUGAAAAAAAUAUGUUAAGCUAUUGGAGGAGAUUGAAGAGGUAUAUUAAUUCAAGCAUUAUUUUUAUUAAUCUACUAUUGUGGUUACGUUGUGUAAUUUUUAUUGUUUAAACACUAAUUUUUUUGGAUUUUAUAUUACAUUUUUUGUGAUAGUUGGAUUGUAUUUCUUUACGACUAAUCUAGUCAUAUUUUAAAUUUUUAUAUAUUUUUUUGUGCUAACACAUGUUUACGCACAAGGGAGAUAAAAAAAAAUAUACUCAUAUAACAGGCUUAAAUAGUUUACUAAUAGACAAUUUGAAAAACAUCUUUUUAAAUUUGAUUUUUGAGGUGUGUUGUUAUUUGGAAAUAAGUUUUGUAAAUACCAACAGACAAAAAUGAAUUUUAUAAAGUUCAAUUCUAAAUCUUGGAAAAGUUUAAAAAUCAAUCAUCUAUAAUUUAUUUCUAAAAAAUAUUAUUUUGAUUUUUUUAAAUUUUUCUUUUUAUUUUUUGCCUAUUCUUGAUCUCCAUAUAGCAGUCGAAAAUGGCAGAAAAAUAACUCGAAAUAUGAAAUUUUAAAGAAAUCGAUAAGAAAUCCCAAACCCAAUUUACAUAAUUUCAUAAUUUAAUUAUAUUGAGAAAAGACAUGAAGAGGGAAACGAAGAAAAAUCUCAUCAUAGUUGAAAAUGAGAGAAGGAAAGAGUUGUGAGACCUACUUGAGAGUGGGAGAGAGGCUCUUGUAAGUCCCACUAAGAGCGGGAAGGUUUGGGGAAAGGCACCAAGAGCGAAGACCAAAGAGAAAAAAAUUUGAGCGUUUUUUUGCUCACAUUUUUGGGCAAUUUUGGCUUAGCUUCAUAAUCUAUUUUGUUGGGGAAUAAAAUCUACUGAGGUUAUCCAAACGGUUCCGAGUUGCUAUCUCAAACUUUUUUGUCAUUAAAAAAUAUUGCAAUUUUGGGUACAUCCAAAUGGUUACCGGUUUGAUUUUUAUUGUUUUUUUGAGUUAUUCAUAGGGUAUUUUUUUUUUUGUUCGAAUUUCACAUCCCAAUAUUUUGUGUCCAAUGCUCGUGGAUUGGGUUGGGUCAUUAUGAUUGAAUGUUUUUGUGCUCCCGCAUGAGCACAUAAUCUUUCAUGUUCAUAUUUUUCUAAAAUUUUAAAAUCCCGUUUAAUGGGAUGGUGCACUAGAUGUAAAACUAUUAUUGAAAUGUCUAUUAUUUUUCUUGAACAUUAUUUUUAAUUUUUUUUUUUAUUUCAUCCUGACAAAAUUCCAUACACUCAAGCCCAUUAUAAACUGUAGCAUGUCAUUUGACCUAAAUUAUAAUUUUUCUAUGUCUCCAUCAAUUCCAUAUCAGUCCUAAUCCAAUCCUAAAAGUCUUUUUUUUUUUUAAUUCUCAAAAAGAGGUUAAUGGGUACAUUUAUUUACCAAAUAUAAAGGAAAAUCUUAUCUCAUUUAAUCUCCUUCAUUUCUUUAACUGUUUUAGUGUCGUAACCUAAUUUUAUGUAAAAAAUAAAGAUCGUGAAUAUUUGCUUUUUCAUCCUCUUAGUGAGUAUUUUUAAAUUUUUUGAAAUUUUUUAUGUCAUUCUUUGUGUUUAAUAUAUUGCUUUGGUGUUUUUUUUUUUGGUAAUUCAAGGAAAGACAUGUCCCUAUUCAUUUUUUCAAUAGAUUGGUUUAACUUUAUUAUUUGAUCAAUCUUGAGGUAGUAUAUGUGGUUUUUUCUUUUUUAACAUAUUUAAGAUCAUACGUUAUCUCUUGAUUAAAUAUUAUCUUUCGAUUUUUAAAUCCUUAAUCUUCAUAAUUAAAUAUUAUAUUUUGAUUUUUAAAUCUUUAAUUUUUAUGAUUAAAGAUUAUCUCUCGAUUAUCUCUUAAUUUUCUAAUGUAUUUUCUAUACCUUUAAAUUAAAAAACAGUAUAAGUACAAGUGAAUUUCUCUCACAAACGCUAUAUUUAAUGUUAUCUUAUCUACUCUUAAGAAUUUAAACCAAAGAAAGUACGGGAUGUUAUCUUAUCUUCUCUUACGAAUUUAAACCAAGGAAAGUAGGGGAUGUUAGAGACAGAGGAUUUUGGUGGUUAUGAUAAUAAUUUGUAAGGUGAAGGUAUGCGGUUUUUAUAAGGUUGCCUUAUAUUUUUGUAGGAUUAUUUAUUUUCUCUUUUUCUUUAUUUAAUAAUUUUCUUAAUUAUCUUUCCUUUUUUUUUUAUCUCGCAGUGAGAGAAGUAAGAGGCAAGUAUUGCUCACUCCACCUUCCAAUAUUGAUAUGAAAUAAUUUGACUCUGCGGUCGUGAAAGAGUUUCUAAUCACUAUAAAGUCCUUUGCUGUUAUCUAUAUUGGCCAAGAAGAUGUGAACUAUAUAAGCAGAAGACCGUAAAUCGUAAAUGACAACAUAUGAUUUAGAAUUGAUUACACAUAAUUUAGAAUGACUUGCUACUUGCGUCUCAAAUCCAAAUGAACUCACAAGAGAAGUGGAGGAGUUGCAUACAAGCGUAGAAAGCCUCUAUGAGUAGAUUACUCCUAUUGGUUGAAAUCAUUCCCCUAUGAAGAACUCUCUAUCCUUAGUCAGUAGAGCACUUUGCCCAAUUCUCUAGAUGGAUAUUGCCUCUCUCCUUCAUCCACAAUCUCAAUCUCUAUGUGGAUGAUUGUUCUCUAAAUGGAUAUUACCUCUCUCCGUCACCCAUAAUCUCAAUCUCUAUGUGGAUGAUUGACUGAACCAAUUUCUAGUGAGGAUAUUUGUGAUCCCAUCAACGAAAUUCUGCUACGUAUAUAUUAUGUUGCCGGAUAAUCUUGAUCUUCACCGGCAUCUAUUUUGCUAAUAGACGAUGUCGAUCUUGACCUCGAUUAUUUUCUGGACUUUUGUACUUAACCUUUGCUUUUGCUUUAAAUUUAUUGUAUCAAAC
rnacentral:lncRNA from 1 species